rnacentral:rRNA from 1 species
UACGUAGGGCGCAAGCGUUAUCCGGAAUUAUUGGGCGUAAAGAGCUCGUAGGCGGUUUGUCGCGUCUGCCGUGAAAGUCCGGGGCUCAACUCCGGAUCUGCGGUGGGUACGGGCAGGCUCGAGUUCGGUAGGGGAGACUGGAAUUCCUGGUGUAGCGGUGAAAUGCGCAGAUAUCAGGAGGAACACCGAUGGCGAAGGCAGGUCUCUGGGCCGAUACUGACGCUGAGGAGCGAAAGCGUGGGGAGCGAACAGG